rnacentral:tRNA from 1 species
UCCCAGGUGACUCAGCUGGUAAAGAAUCUGCCUGCAAAGCAGGAGACCCUGGUUUGAUUCCUGGCUUGGGAA